CUCAAUGGGGCGGGCCGUGCGGGAGGUGCGCGAGCACCUGCCGGCCCUGUGUCCGGUUCGCCAACCUGCACGGCUCCGCUCCACCCGU
rnacentral:antisense_RNA from 1 species